AUAAAUCUUGAUCGAUGAAAUUCGUGCUACGUGACAGCACAUUGAAUGAGAUCUGAUAUCAAGUGAUUGGUUCUUUCCUUAUUUUAGUCAUGAAGCGUAGCCUCCCUUCCAGUUGGAUAGAUAAACUUAAGAGAACUGUAACUAUUAUAUCCUUUUUUAUUCUCUCUGGUCACCGAGGGGGACAGCCUUCACAAUGAGCGCUCGUUGUUCAUCU
rnacentral:lncRNA from 1 species